AAAGUCGUAACAAGGUUUCCGUAGGUGAACCUGCGGAAGGAUCAUCAUGGCAUUACCAUUUUGGUUGGUUGGACCCGUGUUGGGGAGAGGGAGUGAAAACCUCCCCCUCACCAACCAACCAUGGGUCGGCCCCAUUUGAUUCCCAGCAAACAGACAGCAACGAUUGGUUGACUGAGAAAUGAGGAUUCUUGAGGGAGCAGACACAACUUUCAACAACGGAUCUCUUGGCUCUC
rnacentral:misc_RNA from 1 species